CUCUAGUUGAUUUUAUGUUGAUUUCAGCCCCUUAGGUCGGCGCUUAUUCGGGUAGCGGCGCUUCAUCGAAUAUUCAUGGUAUUAAAGUUUAAUUGCAUACACAAUUACAUCAUAAUCCGCUUAUAUACACAUCAGCUGCUUCGUAGAAGAGGCCUUUCCGUUCAAUGUCUUCGAGUAAAAUUCUGCGAUAUAUUGUGGCCAAACCGUGACUAUAAUCGAAAAGUGGUCUGUGGAUGUAUUCAACUAGAACAGUCUCCACCGCAUCGAAAUGGAGACUACAACGUGUAAGAAAGCAAAUGAAAAUAAAUCUGAAAG